AGAGAGAGAGACAGAAACAGAAAGAGACAGAAAGAGAGAGAGACAGAAACAGAAAGAGAGAGAGACAGAGAGAGAGACAGAAACAGAAAGAGAGAGCGACAGAGAGAGAGAGACAGAAGAGAGAGAGACAGAAACAGAAAGAGAGAGCGACAGAGAGAGAGAGAGACAGAAACAGAAGAGAGAGCGACAGAGAGAGAGAGAGACAGAAACAGAAAGAGAGAGCGACAGAGAGAGAGAGACAGAAACAGAAAGAGAGAGCGACAGAGAGAGAGAGACAGAAACAGAAAGAGAGAGCGACAGAGAGAGAGACGUGUAAAUGUAAGAGUAUAAAUGGUGUUAUUAAGGUAAUGGAGUGUGAAAGUGAACACGAGAAGUGAAUUACAACACACAUGUUCGUUCUUUCUUUCUUUCUUUCUUUCUUUCAGUGCAGUAAGUGUACUCUGUGUUAUUAAAAGCAGUUUAUUCUGAUUGAUGUGGUGUGUGUCGUUGUACAGAUGUGGUGAUGUGUGAUGUUGGAAAUGUUUUGAUGUCAUUGUACAGAUGGGUGUUUGAUACAGAUGUUUUCAUGUGUGAAGUUUUACAGAUGAUGUGAUGCGUGUCAUAUAGAUGUGGCAAUGUGCAUCAUUGUACAAAUGUGAUGAGAUGUGUGUCAUUGUACAAAUGUGAUGAGGUGUGUGUCAUUGUACAAAUGUGAUGAGGUGUGUGUCAUUGUACAAAUGUGAUGAGGUGUGUGUCAUUGUACAAAUGUGAUGAGGUGUGUUGUACAAAUGUAGUGAGGUGUCAUUGUGCAGAUGUGGUUAUGUGAUGUCUGUUGUGGUACAGAUAUGGUGAUGUCACUGUACAGAUGUGGUGGUGUGAUGUGUAUCAUUGUACAGAUAUGGUGAUUUGUCAUUGUGUAGAUGUGGUGAUGUCAUUGUGCAGAUG
ensembl:lncRNA